rnacentral:rRNA from 1 species
AGGAUGAACGCUGGCGGCGUGCUUAACACAUGCAAGUCGAACGUUAGAGUGUAGCAAUAUGCUCAAAAGUGGCGAACGGGUGAGUAACACGUAGGUAACCUGCCGCGCAGAGGGGGAUAACGACUGGAAACGGUCGCUAACACCGCAUGGUACUAACUUGACGGGAGUCUGGUUGGUUAAAACCUUGGUGCUGCGCGAGGGGCCUGCGUCCGAUUAGUUAGUUGGUGAGGUAACGGCUCACCAAGACGAUGAUCGGUAGCUGGUCUGAGAGGAUGAUCAGUCACACGGGAACUGAGACACGGUCCCGACUCCUACGGGGGGCAGCAGUGAGGAAUAUUGCACAAUGGACGCAAGUCUGAUGCAGCAACGCCGCGUGGAGGAUGAAGGUCUUUGGAUCGUAAACUCCUUUUUCUCAGGGAAGAGAAUGGACGGUACCUGAGGAAUAAGUCACGGCUAACUACGUGCCAGCAGCCGCGGU